AUCUGUUACUCACACCACAUCUUCAUAUAAAAAGGAAAACAGAAGUUUCAUUACAACAAUCUGUCAAACAUCCUGCUCUUUCCUUUGUUUUUUUAUAUGCUCACAUCAAAAUAAUAUUACAAAUAAAAUUACAACAAACCGUGUUCUAGCAGCUCCUGCUUCAGUGGCCACCUGGGUUUCUAUUCCAUGACAGAUAUGACGGGUCCCCAAGUCGCCUUGGCUUAACAAGAUAGACGACUGUGAAAGCCAUUGCCAAAAAGAAGCAUAACCCACCAACAGUAAGAUAAGCAAUUCCAAGAAAAUCAUUCUUCCCACCAAGCCAGCUAGUUGUAGAAAGCACAAG
rnacentral:misc_RNA from 1 species